rnacentral:rRNA from 1 species
GGCGAACGUUUGCGGCGGGCCUAACACAUGCAAGUCGAACGCACUAGCAAUAGUGAGUGGCGCACGGGUGCGUAACACGUGGGUAAUCAACCCUUCAGCUUGGGAUAACGACUUGAAAGGGUCGCUAAUACCGGAUACGGCGCGGGAGGCUUCGGCUUCUCACGAGAAAGCCUCGCAAGGGGCACUGAAGGACGAGCCUGCGGCCCAUCAGCUAGUUGGUGAGGUAAGAGCUCACCAAGGCGAAGACGGGUAGCUGGUCUGAGAGGAUGAUCAGCCACACUGGAACUGAGACACGGUCCAGACUCCUACGGGAGGCAGCAGUGGGGAAUAUUGCGCAAUGGGCGAAAGCCUGACGCAGCCACGCCGCGUGAGCGAUAAAGGCCUCGGUC